ensembl:lncRNA
GCGUCGAGCUUGGAGCCUGGCCACUGGGAAUGUGUGGUGCUCAGGCCUCUGGAAGCUGUCCUUUCUCCUCUUAGCUAAGAGAGGGCUGGGCUUUUCCCCCUCUGUUCUGUGUGGCUUGUGGGAUCUUAGUUCCCCAACCAGGGAUGGAAUCCAGGCCCUCGGCAGUGAGAGUGUCCAGGGCUGGCGUCUAUCCUUGGUUCUCAGAAAAUUUUUUUUUUUUUAACUUUAUUUUACUUUACAAUACUGUUUUGGUUUUGCCAUACAUUGACAUGAAUCCACCACGGGUGUACCUGAGUUCCCAAUCCUGAACCGCAACCCCCCCAUCUCCCACCCCAUAUCAUCUCUCUGGAUCACCCCCAUGCACCAGCCCCAAGCCUCCUGUAUCCUGUAUCGAACAUAGACUGGCGAUUCGUUUCUUCUCAGAGACUCUUGACAUGCGGAUACCUCCAGUUGCCUAACUUCUUUCAUUUGGCCAUCUAGACUUCUCACACCUUGCUGUGAGUUGGUCUUUAGAUUUACUUAGAUGGAAAGAUAUUGGAGGAGGGAGCUUUGGGACUCCCCUGGUUUCUGGUGAGGGACCCUUCCAAUUUUCCAGCCCCACAACACUGCUGCUGCGCUUGCAGCCCCUUCCUCACAUGGUCCAAAUGGCCUCCAGUGCAUGCUCUGGCCCCAGGCCGAGGCAGCUGCCUGCAUCACGUGUACACCUGUGCCGGCAUCCUGGGUUCAUCAUCUCUCACAGGAUGGAGGCAGGGCAGCUGUAGCUAAGCCAAAGGAAAUGUCACAUAUGUAGGUCACAGCUUUGAAACGGCUUCACUUUCCUGUGGUUCUACUGCUGAGGGGAGUCUGAGAAAGGACUCAGAUCUCACGGGUGGGUCAGAGGGCAGCUAAGGCCAGAAGGUGAGCAGGACUGUGCGCCCCCAAGCAAGAAAGAGGGCUGGGGAGCCAGAGAGGAGGCUCAUUACAAAGCCACAGUGGGUAAGAUGUUGUAGGGACCAGUAGGACGGAGUCAGAAGUCUUGACAGGCUCACAUGUAUGUUGUCAUUCUGUCGUUUAGUCAUACACGACAGAUUGACUAACACUUUAUCACUUUAUCAAUUUCAAAAAUGAAAUUGGAGCCUGUCCUAGUUAUAUAUUGAUGUCAAACAAAUUGCCCCCAAAUACAGCGCUUCUCUCUCACAUCUGCAGGCUUGACUACGGGGAAGGGUCUGCUUCUGGGUGGCUGGCUUCCCCCAGAGUGAGUAGCCUGGAGGAGCACAGGGGUGCAGUCAGGGCGCCUUGCACACUCUGACCAUGGCGGGCUUUGAGCAAGUACGGAAGUGCCACCACCCACACUUAAGUGGGGGGGACUAGGUCUACCUUUUGAAGGGAGGAGUGUCGCUUACUUUGCAGGCAUAUUUUACAACUCCGCAGAUUCCCUUCUUCACCCCAGACACAAACAUUAGCUCCAGGUGGACUGCAGACCUAAAUGUGAUGCAGACUAGCCUCCUUUUAGAAUAUAGGAGACUUGUCUUCAGAAAGAUGUCUCAUCUCAUUAAUACUCAGACAACUGCAAACUGACCACUGCACAAAGAGUGGCAAAAAGAAUAAAACCAACUGGACUGUUUCCCCAUUGCUGUUGGGAUUAGAAACUGGUACAGCUUUGGAGAGCAGUGGUAAUGUCUGUUGACUCAUGUCAUAGCCUGUGGUUGGCGGCUGCACACCAGUGUCAGUGGACAGGGUGUUCACUGGCCCACACCCAUCAGAGUGUGCCCUGGGCUGUGCAGACAGGCUCCUAGCGGGCUGUUACUCAGCCAAAGGCGGAAAGCCUGGAGCUACACACUUUGGAGUGGGUGGAUCCCACACAGUGGGGUGAGGCAGCCUAGAGCACAGGGCACGGCUCCAUCUGGAACUCUGGCCUUUCAGCACCAGAUUGAGCUCAGGAGGGGCGUGGGGGGUGUUGGCGUGAAGAAAAGCGAGGUGGUGGUCACUGCAUGGAGGAGUGUAGGAGGACUCUGAGCUGCUUGGCGCCAUCCUGAUGGGGUGGAGCUCACAUCGGUUUGCAUCUCCAUUAUUAGUGCAUUGUGAUUUUUGCAUUUUCAGGACUUGUAUUACUGAUUGAAAACAGCCAGUUAUUUUAUCAGGGAAAUGGAUUUAUUUCACAGGCGCAAACAACGGCAAAUCAGGACCUGUAGCCCGUGGGACCCACAGGCAAGCGCAGAGGACAAAGGAGGGGAAACUUACGAGGAGAAGGGGAGUGUGAGGGGCUGUAAUGAACAGAGCCCUUUGGAGGAAACCGGGUGUGGAGGCUUCUCAUUGGCUGCGCUGUUGCCAAGUUGGGAGAAAAUCUGCUUUCCUUCUGCCAGGUUGUGUUGUGGUAACCUUGCCCCUGUGGGGUCUGCAAUUGAAGGGAAGUGACAGGGUGUGAGAGUGCUCCCUUCUGGCCUCCAGACUCCAUCUUAUUUCAUUUGUUUUAUUUUUGUUUAUCUUUUUGGCCUCGCCUGAUGACUUGUGGGAUCUUAGUUCCCCAACCAGGGAUCGAGCCUGGGCCCCAUGCAGUGGAAGUGUGGAGUCCUAAGCACUGGGGAGAUCCCCCGCCUGGAUUUUUAAAUGAGGUUUCUGUUUAUUCAUUUUCAC